rnacentral:rRNA from 1 species
AUGGCUCUGGUUCCCUCGGGCUCAGGCAGCGCGCCGGUGAUCGCCGAGGUGGAGAUGAACGGCGGCGCCGACCAGAGCGCCACCACCGUGCGAGCCACCGUCGUGCAGGCCUCCACCGUCUUCUACGACACCCCCGCCACUCUCGAUAAAGCAGAGAGAUUAAUAGCAGAGGCUGCUGGAUAUGGUUCACAGUUGGUGGUGUUCCCGGAAGCUUUUGUUGGUGGUUAUCCUCGUGGAUCCACCUUUGGAUUUGGGAUCAGUAUUAGUAUCACUAAUCCAAAAGACAAGGGAAAGGGUGAAUUCCAGAAGUAUUAUGCAGCCGCCAUAGACGUGCCUGAACAACCUGCAGGUCCAGAGGUCACACUCUUAGCUGCUAUGGCUGGGAAAUAUAAGGUCUUUCUGGUAAUGGGUGUGAUUGAGAGAGAAGGUUACACACUAUAUUGUUCAGUGCUCUUCUUUGACCCUCUAGGUCGGUACCUGGGUAAGCACCGCAAGCUCAUGCCGACGGCAUUAGAACGGAUAAUAUGGGGAUUUGGAGAUGGAUCAACAAUUCCUGUUUAUGACACUCCACUUGGAAAGAUUGGAGCCCUUAUUUGCUGGGAAAAUAAGAUGCCACUCUUGAGGACAGCACUGUAUGGUAAAGGUAUUGAGAUAUACUGCGCUCCCACGGCCGAUUCAAGGCCAGUGUGGCAAGCUUCCAUGACACACAUCGCCAUGGAGGGGGGAUGCUUUGUGCUGUCGGCGAACCAGUUCUGCCGCAGACAGGACUACCCUCCGCCGUCCGAGUACGCCUUUGCCGGUUUAGGAGAAGAGCCUUCCCCAGACACCGUCGUUUGCCCUGGAGGCAGCGUUAUCAUUUCGCCGUCAGGCGAAGUCCUGGCAGGUCCCAACUACGACGGAGAGGCGCUGAUCACAGCCGACCUUGACAUGGGAGAGAUCGUCCGGGCCAAGUUUGAUUUUGACGUGGUGGGCCACUACUCUCGGCCUGAGGUGCUGAGCUUGGUGGUGGAUGACCAGCCGCACCGCCCGGUGUCCUUCACCUCUGCCGCUGAGAAGGCUCCGGCUGCCAAGAGCGACGACACCGCAAAGCCCUGA